GAUGAACGCUAGCUACAGGCUUAACACAUGCAAGUCGAGGGGCAGCACAGUGUAGCAAUACAUGGGUGGCGACCGGCGCACGGGUGCGUAACGCGUAUCCAACCUUCCCGUUACUCAGGGAUAGCCUUCCGAAAGGGAGAUUAAUACCUGAUGGUGUUCAAAUUCCGCAUGUUAUUUGAACUAAAGAUUUAUCGGUAACGGAUGGGGAUGCGUGGCAUUAGGUAGAUGGCGGGGUAACGGCCCACCAUGCCUACGAUGUCUAGGGGUUCUGAGAGGAAGGUCCCCCACGCUGGAACGGAGACACGGUCCAGACUCCUACGGGAAGCAGCAGUGAGGAAUAUUGGUCAAUGGUCGGAAGACUGAACCAGCCAAGUAGCGUGAAGGAUGAAGGUUCUAUGGAUUGUAAACUUCUUUUAUACGGGAAUAAAACCUCCCACGUGUGGGAGCUUGUAUGUACCGUAUGAAUAAGCAUCGGCUAACUCCGUGCCAGCAGCCGCAGUAAUAC
rnacentral:rRNA from 1 species